UUCCUUAGUAGUGGUGAGGAGGAGGAGGAGGUGAAGUGUAGUAAUAAUGGGUCGGUGGUGGUGGUGACUUGUGAACCGGUGGUGGUGGGGAUUUGUACUUGUAAACUGGUGGUGGUGGCGGUGGUGAUUUGUAGUGGUAAGGAGGGGGAGGGGAGUGCAUCGGCGGAGGUGGUGGUGAUUUGUAGUGGUAAGGAGGAGGUGGUGAAUGCACCGGAGGUGGUGGUGGUGGUGAUUUGUAGUGGUAAGGAGGAGGUGGUGAAUGCACUGGAGGAGGCGGUGGUGGUGAUUUAAAGUGGUAAGGAGGAGGUGGAGAGUGCACCGGUGGUGGUGGUGAUUUAAAGUGGUAAGGAGGAGGUGGAGAGUGCACCGGUGGUGGUGGUGAUUUAAAGUGGUAAGGAGGAGGUGGAGAGUGCACCGGUGGUGGUGGUGAUUUAAAGUGGUAAGGAGGAGGUGGAGAGUGCACCGGUGGUGGUGGUGAUUUAAAGUGGUAAGGAGGAGGUGGAGAGUGCACCGGUGGUGGUGGUGAUUUAAAGUGGUAAGGAGGAGGUGGAGAGUGCACCGGUGGUGGUGGUGAUUUAAAGUGGUAAGGAGGAGGUGGAGAGUGCACCGGUGGUGGUGGUGAUUUAAAGUGGUAAGGAGGAGGUGGAGAGUGCACCGGUGGUGGUGGUGAUUUAAAGUGGUAAGGAGGAGGUGGAGAGUGCACCGGUGGUGGUGGUGAUUUAAAGUGGUAAGGAGGAGGUGGAGAGUGCACCGGUGGUGGUGGUGAUUUAAAGUGGUAAGGAGGAGGUGGAGAGUGCAGUGGAGGUGGUGGUGGUGAGUGCACCGGAGGUGGCGGUGGUGGUGACUUGUAGUGGUAAGGUGGUGGUGGUGAGUGCACCGGAGGAGGAGGUGGUGGUGGUGAUUUGUACUUGUAAGGAGGAGGAGGUGGUGGUGGGGAUUUCUUAGGAGGUGGAGGAGAGGAGUAAGAGUAAUCUGCUGUGGUUUCUGAUGGCAAGUUGAGAGACACUAAUACCACUAGAAAAGUUAGAAUGAGAGAGGCCAUUUUGGACCCCUUGGAUUUUCUUCCCAUCUGUACUACAAAUGUAGUUUCUUUGUUGUGCUAUUAAGCAACCUUUU
rnacentral:lncRNA from 1 species